AAAGCGUGCGCAGGCGGUUUUGUAAGACUGUCGUGAAAUCCCCGGGCUCAACCUGGGAAUGGCGAUGGUGACUGCAAGGCUAGAGUUUGGCAGAGGGGGGUAGAAUUCCACGUGUAGAAGUGAAAUGCGUAGAUAUGUGGAGGAACACCGAUGGCGAAGGCAGCCCCCUGGGUCAAAACUGACGCUCAUGCACGAAAGCGUGGGGAGCAAACAGGAUUAGAUACCCGUGU
rnacentral:rRNA from 1 species